UGGGGAAUCUUGGACAAUGGGCGAAAGCCUGAUCCAGCCAUGCCGCGUGAGUGAUGAAGGCCUUAGGGUUGUAAAGCUCUUUCGCCAGGGAAGAUAAUGACGGUACCUGGAUAAGAAGCCCCGGCUAACUUCGUGCCAGCAGCCGCGGUAAUACGAAGGGGGCUAGCGUUGUUCGGAAUUACUGGGCGUAAAGCGCACGUAGGCGGCUUUCCAAGUUGGAGGUGAAAUCCCCGGGCUUAACCCGGGAACUGCCUCCAAAACUGAAAGGCUAGAGUCCGAGAGAGGUGAGUGGAAUUUCCAGUGUAGAGGUGAAAUUCGUAGAUAUUGGAAAGAACACCAGUGGCGAAGGCGGCUCACUGGCUCGGUACUGACGCUGAGGUGCGACAGCGUGGGGAGCAAACA
rnacentral:rRNA from 1 species